rnacentral:rRNA from 1 species
GUGCCAGCAGCCGCGGUAAUACGUAGGUGGCGAGCGUUGUCCGGAAUUAUUGGGCGUAAAGAGCGUGUAGGUGGGAUAGUAAGUCUCAUGUAAAAGUGCGGGGCUCAACUCCGUAAAGCGUGAGAAACUGCUAUUCUUGAGUGCCGGAGAGGAAAGCGGAAUUCCCAGUGUAGCGGUGAAAUGCGUAGAUAUUGGGAGGAACACCAGUGGCGAAGGCGGCUUUCUGGACGGUGUCUGACACUGAGGCGCGAAAGCCAGGGGAGCGAACGGGAUUAGAUACCCCGGUAGUCCUGGCCGUAAACGAUGGGUACUAGGUGUAGGGGGUAUCGACCCCUCCUGUGCCGGAGUUAACGCAAUAAGUACCCCGCCUGGGGAGUACGGCCGCAAGGUUGAA